UUCCCUUGUUGAAUCAGCAAUGUCUUUGCCACGUGGUACAGACUGAAAAUCAUCAAGGAUUUAUCCCUGGUAAAUGCACGCGACACCCAUGAAAAAAAGCCGUAUCUCUUCCGCGAAGUUGCUUUUUCGCAGAACUCCUUUCCAGCAAAAACCAGGAGAUUCUUAUAAAAAAAUACAGCCCACCACGGGAAGUUCGGUAGUACAGUCAGCGGUUUUUAUGGCACACUGCUACUUUCGAUUAUUCUCACAAGGUAUUUUAUUGUUGGUUUUAACUACAAAGCAAAAUGCAUAAAACUUGGCUAUAACAAAGGGAAAGGGGCAUGUACGUUAAUAUUCACAUUUGUUCAAAGCUGAAUAUUUGUUUUUGAGUUGCACAGAGUGGAGGUUAAAGUAUGGUAAGAGCGGCUGGACAUUAGCAUGAAGUAGGGAAGGCUGAACAUUGUCAGCCAAGCCUCGAUAGUGAAGGUUAUUACAGUAGUCGUUAGAAUCUGAGCUCCUCAGAAGCCCUCUUGAAGAAUUAUAUUGAGGGUUUACAUGCAGGAGGAAGCAGGGAAGAUGAAUACAGUGGUACCUCGGGUUACAUAUGCUUCAGGUUACACACUCCGCUAACCCAGAAAUAGUGCUUCAGGUUAAGAACUUUGCUUCAGGAUAAGAACAGAAAUCGUGUUCCGGCGGCAGCAUGAGGCCCCAUUAGCUAAAGUGGUGCUUCAGGUUAAGAACAGACCUCCAGAACGAAUUAAGUACUUAACCCGAGGUACCAUUGUACAGUAUGCUUGCUGCUCCACUAGUUGGUGGGCUGCUGUCUGAAGUGGGAAUGCUGCUUGCACUGACUCGGUGGAUGAUGCAGAAUCCUGAUUUCCAGGGUUCUAUCAGAAGGUCGGCGGUUCGAAUCCCCACGAUGGGGUGAGCUCCCGUUGCUCGGUCCCUGCUCCUGCCAACCUAGCAGUUCGAAAACAUGUCAAAGUGCAAGUAGAUACAUUGGUACCGCUCCAGCGGGAAGGUAAAUGGCGUUUCUAUGCACUGCUCUGGUUCGCCAGAAGUGGCUUAGUCAUGCUGGCCACAUGACCCGGAAGCUGUACGCCGGCUCCCUCGGCCAAUAAAGCGAGAUGAGCGUCGCAACCCCAGAGUCGGCCACGACUGGACCUAAUGGUCAGGAGUGCCUGUACCCUUUACCUUUACUAUAACAUGAAAAGCGAGUACAGAAAGUUCCCCGCUUCACAUGCUUUGUGGAGGGUGACAAGAAGCUUGCAAACCUACAAAAAUUUAACUAAAAAACAUCAAGAGAAAUGUCACUUAAGGGAACUACAUAAUUUCCUCUAACUUUUUUUCCUAACGAGAUAAUAGGUCUUCUUAAUUUCAUUACUAUUAUUUGUUAAAUUUGUAUGCUGCCCUUCAGCUUGCCAAAGACCCCAGAAAAGUUCACAACAGUAAAAUACAAAAUGAGUAUACAAAAUACAUAAUCAAACAAAAACAAACCAAUAGUGUUGGUUUUGGGUUUUUUUAAAAAAUAGAUUGUUGAUCAGCCAGACAACAUUCUCUGAUUGAAGAGAAACCUGGUGCCUAAAAAUAUGUAAUGAAGGUGCCAGGCAAGCCUCCCUGGGAAGAACAUUCCACAAAUAGAGAGCCUCCACAGAAAAGGCCUGUUCUCAUGUUGCCAUCUUCCAAACCCCUUGUAGAGGAAACAAACAAAGAAGGGCCUCAAAUGAUGACUGCAGGGCCCAGGUCAAUUCAUAUGGGGAGAGGUUUGUCCUUGAGGUAUUGCAGUUGUGAGUAGUUUAACCAGCACUUUGAGCUGGGCCCAGACUAAUUGGCAACUGGUGCAAUCAGUUCAGGAUCAGUAUAAUAUGCUAAAACGGUAUUUCCCUGUUCAGCAACCUUAGCACCAAAUUCUGCAUCAGCUGAAGUUUCCGAAACAUCUUCAGACCUGCAGAUGUAAAAGAGAAGUAGAGCUGUGUGUCGUGGGCAUAUUGCUGACAGCAUACUCCAAAACUCUAGAUAACCCCAUUCAGCUGUUUUAUGUAGAUGUUAAACAGCAUAGAGGAUAAAAUUGAACCCUGAAGAACUCCACAUUGAUGGUUCCACAGGGCCAAAGAGUACUCCCCAAGCAUUACUCUCUGGAAACAGCCCUCUAAGUAAGAGUUGAACCACUGAAAAGUGGGGCCGCCCAUCCCUAACUCAGAUAGCUGCUCCAGAAGGAUACCAUGGCUGAUGGUAUUGAAACCCGUUGCGGACAAUUAACAGGGACACAUUUCCCCUGUCUCUCUCCCAGCAGAGGUCAUCAUACAGGAUGACCAAAACAGUUUCUGUGCCAAAAACUGGCCUAAACCCUGAUGGAAAUGGAUUUAGGAAAUCAAUUUCCUCCAAAAGUGCCUGGGUCUGGUCUGUGACCACCCAAAAAACCUUGUCCAAGAAGAGGAGACUGUAGUUGCUUAGAUUUUCUGAAUCCAGGGACCCUUAACAGCCAAACCAUAAACCCAGCACUUCCACUGUAAUACUACUAGUUACAGCAGUACUGAAGAAUCUGGAUUCUUUUCUCUUUCAGCAAUAGACUAUGCUGGUGCAGCUUCCUCUUUUUUAAAAAGGGACAAUGUGUAUGUUACAAAUAGGAUCAAUGGACUACAUUUAACAAUGUGACCAUAGGAAGAGCAAUUGAAUGCACAGAACAGUUCAGUUGUCAUUGCCCACAUACUUUGAGAUGUGAAGGCCUGGAAAAACCCAGAAACAUUUAGAAGAAAACCAUUUUUCUCGCUUUUAUUUGUUUUCCUGGCAAAGAAAUUGGUUGUUUGGGGUAAAAUAAAAACCACUCUUGUGCAAUGUUUUCCCUUUCAAAAAGUUGGUUGAGAUAUUUCCUUAGGUAGCACUUCAAACACUGAUGCAAAUUCCUACAUCCAAGAUUCAAAAGGUAAUAACCCCUAUUCACUCGCUGGAUCAUCACCUCGCCGUGGUGAGUGGGCCUGCACGUUCCUCUGAUCUUUGUGAGCGAAGCCAUCGGGAAUCUCAUACUCCCAGUAGGGUCACACAAGGUGGUAAAAUCUGGAGGAGGAGGAGGAGGAGGAGGAGGAGGAGGAGAGGGAUUACAACAGCAGGCCCAUUUCAAUCCAAGCAUUAAUUCCAUGGAGUUUACAGUUGUAAAGCUGUGUCCCUUUUAUUUUGUUUUUACAUACCCAUAUCCCACUGAAAAGCACAUAAAUUGUUUUCAUACCACAUUAGGAAUAGUGUUAUACAACUCAAAAACAUUUUUCAGAUUUGUAUGAGUUAUAGAAUCAAAGAACUGUAGAGUUGGAAGGGACCACAGGGCUCAUCUAGUCUAACCACCUGCAAUGCAAGAAUCUCAACUAGAUCAUACAUGACAGAUGACCAUCCAACCUCUGCUUGAAAACCUCCAAUGAAGGGGAGUCUACAGUCUCCCAAGGGAGUCUGUUCUACUAUCAAACACCUCUUACUUUCAGAAAGUUCUGUUCAGUCAGAAUCUCCUUUCCUGUAACUUGAAUCCAUUAGUUCGGGUCCUGUCCUCUGGAGCAGGAAAAAAACAAACUUGCUCCAUCUUCCAUGUGACAGCCCUUUGAAGAUGGCUAUCAUAUCUCCUCUCAGUUUCCUUUUUACCAGGCUAAACAUAACCAACGCCCUCAGCUGUUCUUCAUAAGGAUUGAUUUCCAGACGUUUUAUCAUCUUGGUGACUAUCCUCUGCACACGUUCCAGCUUGUCAAUAUCCUUAAAUUGUGGCGCCCAGAACUGGACACAGUCCAGAGGACUUAGUUGACUGGGCAACCCAAAAGUGUUCUAAACAAAUAAAUGAAUGGGGGGAAAACAUGUCUGCAGCUUCCCUUCUAUCCUAGCCAUGUAUUUGAUUCCACUUGAGGCUUUUACCUUGCAUUUCAAGGCAUGGAUUCAGAUCAUUAAAACGUGGUGGUGGUUCUGCUUGUUGAAAGACCACUUGAAGCAGGUUGUGCAGCCAUGCAGGCUAGCCUAGUCCCAUGCCCCUAGGUUGCCCAGAAAGGGCUUUAUAAAUGUGGUAAUGUAUGGGGGGGUCCUAGCCUACUCUGGAUGCCCUUUGUAUGGCGAUGCUCUUAGCCAUCAGUGAGAAACAUAUGGCCCUCCUAAUCCCUGGGCAUUGGUCAUAGUUGCUGGGGCUGAUGGGAGUUGUAGUUCAGUAACAUCUAGAGCAGGCUUCCUCAACCUUGGCCCUCCAGAUGUUUUUGGCCUACAACUCCCAUGAUCCCUAGCUAGCGGGACCAGUGGUCAGGGAUGAUGGGAAUUGUAGUCUCAAAACAUCUGGAGGGCCGAGGUUGAGGAAGCCUGGUCUAGAGAGCCAAAGGUUCUCCAGCCCUGUUCUUCAAGCAAUACAAAUUUACUUGUAUAAGAACAUGAAAGCAAAUAUUUUCAGGGUUUUCAACAUUGUUUCUAAGCGCCUAGAAAAUUUACAUAAGCAUACCUAUCCAAAACCAUUUCCAUUGCUCACAUUCUACAUAUCUGGCAUACAGUUGCAUUAAAAUUGCAAGUUAAGUAACUUGGAAGGAAGGUGUCAUUUUGGAUCUCUUAUGGACACCCAGCAUUUAGUCCAAGCGCUUCAAAUUAUGUAACUUGAAGAGAAGGGAGAAAUGGCCUGAGUUGCUGAUCUGAUAAGAUUUUAUCACUCGAGGAACCAGAAUUUCCAGUAGGACUGGGGAGAAAACCUGGCUAGUAAAAAUUCAGAAGUAGUAGCACUUUCAGUAGUGUUAGACAUUAUGGCUCAUAAGAAUGGAAUUUGGUUGAUUUCAAAGAAACAGAUUCCUUGCUGCCUUUGAUCCCCAUAAUUCUUCACAAGAAUGCUUCUUGUUUUAUAAUGUGUGGUUCAAGUUUUAAAUGUUGGUGAGCUGUACUUAAAGGAGUUUCCUGAAAUUAAUGGUCUGUUUUAGGACGAGAAAGACCUACUGUAUAACCCAUGAUACAUGCGAGUUUUAAGCUUACAUUCCAAUGUAAACUUGUUCAAGUGAAACAUCCACAGAAAACAACAUACUGCAACACUGGUGGGUCAAAGCAAAUGUUAGUCUCAGCAAUGCAAUCAGAACUCAGCCUCUUACCAGUCCCAUCCCACCCCCAGCACCAUUUGGGACCCCAACAGUGGCACUGUGCUACUGUAAUUGCAAUACACAUAUAUAUAUAUAUAUACAUAUACAUAUAUAUGUAUAUGUGUAUAUAUAUAUAUAUAUAUAUAUAUAUAUAUAUAUAUAAAAUAUGUCAGUAUUAUAUAGAAAAAUACUUCUUAAAUAGGGGGUCUUCUGAAUUUUCAAAUGACAAAACCAAAUUCACAUAUUCUUUCGUCAUUCUUAUCUUUAGAACAAAAGAACAGUUCAAUAGAGUGAAGGAUAGACAUUCUUUUUCCAAAAUGGAUUGGCUGCAUUCAGUCAUAACAGACAUUUUUAUUCCUGGGUGGGAUCUAAGCAUAUGCACCUGGACUGGGUGUCAGCACUGUAGGCAUUAAAAAAAACAAAAAACUCUGACUUUAAAAAAAUGGAUGAUUCACAGCUAUGAAACAUCAUAGCUGUUUGCUCAGCUUCUAACAAACAAUAUAUGCUGCUUUUUCCCACACAUUUCUUGAAAAAGAGCUAGAUGCUGUGCUGUGUACAUCUUAAAGGCUUAACUGACUGAUUUUGGUGGAUUAGUUCAGAGUGUGUUCUUAUGUAAAAGCAUUUGUCUUUGCAAUGCUAAACAGUGCAAGUAUUUUAUAUACCUCCAAAGCUUUGUAAUCAUGUAGCACUCAGUGCUUGAGUCUCUGCAUGUAUACUACUCAGAAAUGUAGUGUCCAGGUCAAGGAAAGUCAGCACUCAUUUUUGCCUUGGUCAAACCACACCUGGAGUACUCUUUCUGGUUCUGGGCAUCACAAUCUAAAAAGAAUAUUGACAAGUUGCAACGUGUGCAGAGGAGGAUGAGCAAAAUGAUCAAGGAUCUGCAAACUAAGCCUAAUGAGGAACAGUUGAGGGAGUUGGGCAUGUUUAGCCUGGGAAAGAGGAAACUUGAGAUGAGCUAUGAUAGCCAUCUUCAAAUAUUUAAAGGGCUGUCACAUGGACGAUGGAGCAAGCUUGUUUUCUCCUGCUCCAAAGAGUAGGACUUGAACUAAUGGAUUCAAGUUAUAAGACAGGAAGAACCUUCUGAUCCUAAGAGCUGCUUGACAGUGGAAGAGACUCCCUUGGGAUGUGACGGACUCUCAUUCUUUUGAGGUUUUUAAGUAGAAGUUGGGCAGCCAGAAAAGACAGCAAGAUCAAGGAAAUAGAAGAGAAAGAAACAGAAAGGUUAGAAUGCUAUGAGUUACAUGUUGCCAGGCAAAAAGAAGCAGUGGGUUCCCCAAGUUUCACAACGACCCAGGAGUCUGGGGCUACAGCUGCAUAGCAGGGAUCUUGAAAUGGCUGCGCAUGGACACAAGACAUACCCUACCCUUCAAAGUUUGCAGACUGUGCUUCACCCAGGAAACUCUGCGUGGUGGAGAACCCACUACAGGUGGUUUAAGGAUGGAAAAGUUGUCACAUGGGAGUACACAAGACUUCAUGUCCCCUUAAGGACCUCAACUAACUUGGAGAGAAGAGGCAAGGGAAGAGAGUAGAGGAGCUACUAGGGGUUGAAAUUUUUCUGGUAAAGGGAAGUUCUCUUUCUGCAGUUCUCUUACUGCACAUGACUGUGGCAUUGUGGGAAGUCUUGCUAUUAGAACUAUUGCUUCUUUUCUCUUGCAUUCUGGGAAGUCUCGCUCAUAAUCUUUUCUCUGCUUCUGCACAUGAGUCUGAGAAUGUUCUGAACAGUUCCCAUUGAGUUCAUGAAACAGUGUAUCCUGACCUGUUCUUAAUGCAUUGCUGACCACAUCUACGGAACGUGAUUGUUGUAUUCUUUCAUGUUAUGUUCUCUCAAUAUUAAUCUUUAGUUAUAAUUUAAUUAGGAGGUUUCAUGCCUGUCUAGUUCCAGCUCCGAUUCUCAGCCUUUGAACUAUCAGUGAUAAAUGGUUAUAUGUAAUUCCCGCCUUGUACCUAUGUUAACCAAUCAACAACAAGUUGCUUUGUGUUUGUAUCAACCAAUCAGCCACAAGCACACCUGUGGCAAUGUUUGUAAUAUUCAAUAAAAGAGAGUUCCCGGGGCUUGCCCUGGCAGACGCCUCUCAUAUGACACCUGCCACUCGUCUGUCGUGAUUUACAACCCAACAUUCUGGAGCCUCCUAUUGAGACUGGGCAGUGAUGGGGCCCUUGGGGACAAAAACCUAAAGCCCCAGUUUAAUGAGAAGUGUGUGUGUGGAGGGGGUCCCUGAGACAAAACAUGAACAUGAUUGAGACUGAGGCUAAGGAGGGAGAGGAUUCAAAAACAAAAGGUUGCCAAGUAACUGGAGACCUGUUACCUUCAAAUUUUUUUGCAAGUGGAUGGAAGCAUAGUUGAGCCAAUCCAGACAGGUAUAAGUCAACAGAGACUGUACUUGACCUUACAUGUCAGGUGUUAAAGAGUGGUGCACCAAUAGAUAUCCAUGUGAAAAACAAGGGUUGAGGUCUGUGGCUGAUUUAACCAGAAGGGGCAGUGUUCAUCAGGAAAAUAUAUUUGUUCUCUUCAGGGGUGAUUACGGUAAUUGCCAAAUAGAGGUUCGUGCCAAGUAGACCAGAUGCAGAGUUGGGUAUUUACAUGCGUCUAGAGCCCUUGCUCCCCUUUUAGGGUUUGCCAGUCUUUCUGGGCCACUGAGCAGAUUUGUAAUAUGCUUCUGAACUCACUCCCGUUGGAGGCACUGAUCACUGAUGGCUUUCCAUCACCUAAUUAACAAUACAUCUGUUCUCGCAGGAUUUCAUGGGUUUUUGUUUAAGCUUGGUUUUAGGAUUUCCUGCACUGUAAUUACUGUUGCUGUUAAUUUUUGAUUAUUUUAAUUGUGCUCCUGGUUUUAAAUGCUGUGUGAUUUCAAUAUCUUGGGAACCACUUUGUGACAAGUGUCACGAAACGUGGUCUAAAGAAUAUUACUAAAUAAAUCAAUAAAAUGGGCACGUUAUUUAAAAAUACAUUCGGAGGAAAACAAUCCAUUUUAAAAGAUAUGAAAUAAAUAAACUACAAAUGCAGUCAAACUAGUGACACCACCCCCUUGCUUUUGUUUCUGGAGCAGACAUUGCAUGCAGAGCAUUAACUGUGUUUGGAUUUGUUUGCAGUUCAAUAUCUUACGUGCUCAUGCUUUUAUCCAUUUUUUUGGAAAAAUGUAUUUGAAAGGGUGCUCCACUGGGUACGGGUGGGGUGCUGCCUCCUCGUUAGUUCUAAAGUAAUUGCCUCUUGGCACGCCAAUGAAAUGUAUGUGGGUAUUGCAGCUGGUGUAGAUCAGACCAUCUUUCAGAAAUUCCAGUUCAGUGUCCUGUAUGUUUAUGCAUUCCUUCAAGAGGUUUUAAAACAUUGGGUAAACAAUGCAUAGCAAUGUAUUCAUUUUCCUUUUGGCUAUUGAACUGAGAAUUUAUCAUUUUAUUUACCGCACCACUUUUAUCAGCUCUGAACCAAGAGAGUUUUUUGCUUUAUUUUAUUUUUGUACAUGGUGUACUGACAUUCUGGGUGCAGAUUUCCCCAAAGGCAGAAUAGCAUCUCUUUUUUUAAGGACUCACUACUUGCUCUUGCUAAUGUUAUUAUGCUUGAAUUUGUUCUUUAAAACAGCCCAACUGUAAAAAGUGACACUAUGAAAAUGUCACACGGUGUGAUAUAGCACAUUAGCAGCUGAUUGGUUUGUUGUAAAGUGAACUUUUGUAAACCACACUGAAGUCAUUAUACUCAACCCAAAGUACAGUGGUACCUCGGGUUAAGUACUUAAUUCGUUCUGGAGCUCCGUUCUUAACCUGAAACUGUUCUUAACCUGAAGCACCACUUUAGCUAAUGGGGCCUCCUGCUGCUGCCGCAUCGCCGGAGCACGAUUUCUGUUCUCAACCUGAAGCAAAGUUCUUAACCCGAGGUACUGUUUCUGGGUUAGCGGUGUCUGUAACCUGAAGCGUAUGUAACCUGAAACGAGUGGUAAACCGAGGUACCACUGUAAACCUCUUCACCUCCAAAGCUGCAGUCCUAUGCUCAGAGUGGCCAUAGUGGUUUAAACCUGAAAAACACUACAGAAUAGGUAAACUCUUUCCUUUAUUCCAACUGACACAUUUCCAUAAUCACUAAUUCCAUAUAAAAGAUUAAGUUUAUGGUGGGCAAACAUAGGUCUUUAUCAAAGUUUCCCGUCACCAAUCACUAGUGGUUUUUCAGCUCAGCAAGAAAGACUGAAUUUUAUAAAGGUUGACUUUAAUCUUGUCAUUGUUCAUGUGAAAGUUCACUUGCAUAACUAUGCUGGAUAUGACUGAGUUCAAAAUUAUUCUUGCUGCAGUGCAUUACCGUAUCGGCUUUGGAACAAAAAUCCAUCCUGGCAGUUUGUUAACACCUUCUUCUGCCUCUGCUGCUGCCUUUAAUGAUCAAAGUUUGUAAGGAACCAUUUAUUUAGCUCCAAGAAAUCAGCAGCAGAUGAUGCAAUGAAAGCUGGCACUGCUGUCUGAAAAGGUAAACCGUAUUAGAUAGCUACUGAACUGUGAAGCUUAGAGGACUAGAGCACACUCAAAGCACCUGAA